CUACGGGGGGCAGCAGUGGGGAAUAUUGGACAAUGGGGGAAACCCUGAUCCGGCAAUGCCGCGUGUGUGAAGAAGGCCUGCGGGUUGUAAAGCACUUUCGGUUGGGAGGACUGCUUCUAGCACUAAUAUUGUUGGAAGUUGACGUUACCUUCAGAAGAAGCACCGGCUAACUCCGUGCCAGCAGCCGCGGUAAUACGGCGGUGCAAGCGUUAAUCGGAAUUACUGGGCGUAAAGCGCGCGUAGGCGGCUAGAUCAGUCGGGUGUGAAAGCCCCGGGCUUAACCUGGGAACUGCAUCCGAUACUGUCUAGCUUGAGUACAGGAGAGGAGAGUGGAAUUCCACAUGUAGCGGUGAAAUGCGUAGAUAUGUGGAGGAACACCAAUGGCGAAGGCAGCUCUCUGGCCUGAUACUGACGCUGAGGUGCGAAAGCGUGGGGAGCAAACAGGAUUAGAUACCCCCGUAGUC
rnacentral:rRNA from 1 species